rnacentral:rRNA from 1 species
GAUGAACGCUGGCGGCGUGCCUAAUACAUGCAAGUCGAGCGAAUGGAUUAAGAGCUUGCUCUUAUGAAGUUAGCGGCGGACGGGUGAGUAACACGUGGGUAACCUGCCCAUAAGACUGGGAUAACUCCGGGAAACCGGGGCUAAUACCGGAUAACAUUUUGAACCGCAUGGUUCGAAAUUGAAAGGCGGCUUCGGCUGUCACUUAUGGAUGGACCCGCGUCGCAUUAGCUAGUUGGUGAGGAAACGGCUCACCAAGGCAACGAUGCGUAGCCGACCUGAGAGGGUGAUCGGCCAGACUGGGACUGAGACACGGCCCAGACUCCUACGGGAGGCAGCAGUAGGGAAUCUUCCGCAAUGGACGAAAGUCUGACGGAGCAACGCCGCGCGAGUGAUGAAGGCUUUCGGGUCGUAAAACUCUGUUGUUAGGGAAGAACAGGUGCUAGUUGAAUAAGCUGGCACCUUGACGGUACCUAACCAGAAAGCCACGGCUAACUACGUGCCAGCAGCCGCGGUAA